rnacentral:rRNA from 1 species
GGGGGAUAAGCUUCAUUGUCGAGAGGGAAACAGCCCAGAUCACCAUUUAAGGCCCCUAAAUAUUCACUAAGUGGCAAAGGAUGUAAUAUUACAUAGACAACCAGGAGGUUGGCUUAGAAGCAGCCAUUCCUUUAAAAAGUGCGUAAUAGCUUACUGGUCAAGUGAUUUUGCGCCUAAAAUGAACGGGACUAAGUGAUUUGCCGAAAAUGUGAGAGAAAUCAGUAGAAGAGCGUUCUGUUUUUAUUAGAAGCAAUAGCGUAAGCAGUUGUGGAUUAACCAGAAGUGAGAAUGUCGGCUUAAGUAACGAAAACAUUGGUGGAAAUCCAAUGCCCCGAAAAUCUAAGGGUUCCUUAGCUAGGUUCGUCCACUAAGGGUUAGUCAGGUCCUAAAAUGAGGUUUAACAACGUAAUUGAUGGAUAACAGGUUAAUAUUCCUGUACCGAUUUUUAUUUAGCUAAGAGUGACGAAAAAGGCUAGGUCAUCCAAAUACUGGUUUUGGGUUUAAUUUUUCAACGUGUUGACAGGUGUUAAUAAAAAAUACCUUGAGCGAAGGUUAAAAUACGAUAGAUGCUAAGGCAUUGAAAAGUGAUCGAUGUCAUGUUUCCAAGAAAAACUUUUGUAGCGUGCAAUAGAAAUUGCCUGUACCGUAAACUGACACAGGUGGAUUAGUAGAGUAUACUAAGGGGCGCGAGAUAACUCUUUCUAAGGAACUCGGCAAAAUGACUCCGUAACUUCGGGAGAAGGAGUGCCUCUAUUUGAGGUCGCAGUGAUCAGGUCCAAGCGACUGCUUACCAAAAGCACAGGUCUCCGCUAAGUUGAAAAACUAUGUAUGGGGGCUGACGCCUGCCCAGUGCCGGAAGGUUAAAGAAAUUGGUUAGCGAAAGCGAAGCUAGUGACUGAAGCCCUGGUGAACGGCGGCAAUAACUAUAAUUGUCCUAAGGUAGCGAAAUUCCUUGUCGGGUAAGUUCCGACCCGCACGAAAGGCGUAACGAUUUGGACGCUGUCUUGGAAAGAGACUCGGUGAAAUAGAAUUGACCGUGAAGAUGCGGUCUACUUGCACUUGGACAGAAAGACCCUAUGAAGCUUUACUGUAACUUGAAAUUGGUUUUGGGCUUUUCUUGCGCAGAAUAGGUGGGAGGCUGAGAUCCUCUUUUUCGGAAGAAGGUGAGCCAAAAUGUGAGAUACCACUCUGGAGAAGUUAGAAAUCUAAUAGUAUUUUUUCAUCAAGAUGCUUGACAGUUUCAGGCGGGCAGUUUUACUGGGGCGGUAGCCUCCUAAAAGGUAACGGAGGCGUACAAAGGUUUUCUCAGUCUGGACGGAAAUUAGUUGUAGAGUGUAAAGACAUAAGAAAGCUUGACUGUGAGACCUAUAAGUCGAGCAGAGACUAAAGUCGGUCUUAGUGACCCGACGGUGCUGAGUGGAAAGGCCGUCGUUCAACAGAUAAAAGUUACUCUAGGGAUAACAGGCUGAUCUCCCCCAAGAGUUCACAUCGACGGGGAGGUUUGGCACCUCGAUGUCGGCUCAUCGCAACCUGGGGCGGUAGUACGUCCCAAGGGUUGGGCUGUUCGCCCAUUAAAGCGGUACGUGAGCUGGGUUCAGAACGUCGAGAGACAGUUCGGUCCAUAUCCGGUGUGAGCGUUAGAGUAUUGAAAGGAGCUUUCCUUAGUACGAGAGGACCGGGAAGGACACACCACUGAUGUACCAGUUUUUGUGCCAACAGAAUACGCUGGGUAGUCAAGUGUGGAGUGGAUAACUGC